AACGAACGCUGGCGGCAGGCCUAACACAUGCAAGUCGAGCGCGCCCUUCGGGGUGAGCGGCGGACGGGUGAGUAACGCGUGGGAACGUACCCUUUGCUACGGAAUAGUCUCGGGAAACUGGGGGUAAUACCGUAUGAGCCCUUCGGGGGAAAGAUUUAUCGGCAAAGGAUCGGCCCGCGUUGGAUUAGGUAGUUGGUGGGGUAAUGGCCCACCAAGCCGACGAUCCAUAGCUGGUUUGAGAGGAUGAUCAGCCACACUGGGACUGAGACACGGCCCAGACUCCUACGGGAGGCAGCAGUGGGGAAUCUUAGACAAUGGGCGCAAGCCUGAUCUAGCCAUGCCGCGUGAGCGAUGAAGGCCUUAGGGUUGUAAAGCUCUUUCAGGGGGGAAGGAUAAUGACUGUACCCCCACGAAGAAGCCCCGGCUAACUCCGUG
rnacentral:rRNA from 1 species